rnacentral:rRNA from 1 species
GAUGAACGCUGGCGGCGUGCCUAAUACAUGCAAGUCGAGCGAACAGACGAGGAGCUUGCUCCUCUGACGUUAGCGGCGGACGGGUGAGUAACACGUGGAUAACCUACCUAUAAGGCUGGGAUAACUUCGGGAAACCGGAGCUAAUACCGGAUAAUAUAUUGAACCGCAUGGUUCAAUAGUGAAAGACGGUUUUGCUGUCACUUAUAGAUGGAUCCGCGCCGCAUUAGCUAGUUGGUAAGGUAACGGCUUACCAAGGCGACGAUGCGUAGCCGACCUGAGAGGGUGAUCGGCCACACUGGAACUGAGACACGGUCCAGACUCCUACGGGAGGCAGCAGUAGGGAAUCUGCCGCAAUGGGCGAAAGCCUGACGGAGCAACGCCGCGUGAGUGAUGAAGGUCUUCGGAUCGUAAAACUCUGUUAUUAGGGAAGAACAAAUGCGUAAGUAACUAUGCACGUCUUGACGGUACCUAAUCAGAAAGCCACGGCUAACUACGUG